GACGUGGAGAAUCUGCUCUGGCGGCUUCGAGCGGUACCAGGACGCGGAUGAUCUGCUCCGGCGGUCUGAAGCGGCAUCGGGGACCUGACCUGUCGUGUCUUCCUCUGCUUCUCUGUUCCACAUCUGCUUGAGUUGAAUGCGGGCGUCUCGCUAGGCUGUGCUCCGUGUCCGCCGCGUCCGCCAUCUCUGCUGUACCCUGAUUUUGCAGGUUCCUACAUUGCAUCAGGUCCCCAUGCUCCCGUCGUCUCCAUGGUCCCUGCAGGGACAUGGCACUGUACGUGCUCAGGGUGGGGGCAUGUGGCAAGGAGCUCCACACAGACGGGCAGUCGCACAAGGUUUUUACCAGUAGCUGACUAGGAAAUCGAAGUGAAUGGCCAAGAUCACUUCGUAUGGAAAUGAAGACCUGGUUAGUUUACUAGGCAAUUUUAUAUCCCUAAUCUCUCUGUUCGUACAUACUUCUUGAUUUCAGUAUAUUUGCAUCCGAUCUAUCCUGCCUUUUCUCAUCCAGGUUAGUUUCAUUCUAUUCAACUGUGCCAGCAAUGCCAACAGCCCUGCUAAAAUAUGUGUCAAAGGCUCAAAGCAGACACAUCGCUGGAAACUCCUUGUGCAUUUAGGUCGAAUCUGGGAAAACAGAAACCGAGAAAUUGGAAAGGUUACAUAUGAACUAGGUUUCUUCAUGGUAGAUCGCCAGGAAGGAAUUAUGUAAGGUAAAAUUGCACAGAGCAGUUUAAAGAACUGAAAGAAGGUGUAUUUAUAAAUAUUAACAAUUCAUCAUCGGGGAAGAUUGGGAUUCGAGAGGAGGCUUUGGCGUUGGAAGGCGUUUUUAUUGAAUUGACUGAAUUCGAUAGAGAGAUGAAGAGAUUUUGAUGUCUCAAACAUUGCUUCGUACUUUUCCAGUGUGAAAACCAGAUAUAUUUCCUUCACUUAACAUAUCUAGUAAGUGGUAAUGACGACACAAGUUCAUCGCCUCUUUGCUGAAGGUGCUGUCUCAUUGGUUGAACUUGGCUCUUUCAAAGAUGAAAAUACAUGAUCAGUCCUUUGCGGGUUGGAUUCAGCAACUUCGGUGUGUGUGCAUCCUGCUUCCUGAAUAUAUGGGCCAUUUGGCUUCCUAAGGGACAUAUGAUUAAUUGGCAUUUACUGGUUGGGCUGACCAUGCUCUUGGACAUGAUUAAUGUUUGAAGGCAAUGUUUUCCUAACGAUACACUGCCUCUUCUGGCCUCUAUUGGUAUCCGCAUGUACACUAACAUUUUUGUUUGUGUGCAUCAUCAGGAUGUAAACGCUCAUACAGUCAUACCCCGCAAAAAAGAUGCAAACGCUCAUCCUGGAGAGCACUGCCAUUUUGAGGAACAUAACUGCUGCUGUCCCGGAGAGCACUGACACUUUGAGGAACGGUGGCUGACGGUGAGGGUGAGCUUCAAAAAGGAGCAGAAACUCUUUGAUGUUCUGCAGCCCUGGUGAUGCUAACUGGCUGGUCGCUUUGGAAACAACGCAACGCAAGAGUGUUCAAUAACCCCAUGAGGCAAUGCAAUCCCCAUGAGGCAACGCAAGAGUGUUGACUGACCACAUCCUGGAGAAGCUCAGUAGCUGGGUUAGCACAGGUGUCGGAGGGAGAAAAGAGAAACUAUGCACUGAGUAGCUAGUUUUAGAGUUUAGGUGGGUGUGUUGCUCAUCCCUUUGUUCACAAAGUGGUUUCGACUCUUGUAAAUAGUUUCUAUCUUCCAUAAAGCUAUGGUAUGCCUUUGGCAUAAUCUCGCAAAAAAGAUUUCAAAAUCAUAGGAAUGGAAAAAAGGCAGGAUCCAUGUCGCUAAAAU